GCCNUACCGCGUGGGUGAAGAAGGCCUUCGGGUUGUAAAGCCCUUUUGUUGGGAAAGAAAAGCAAUCGAUUAAUACCCGGUUGUUCUGACGGUACCCAAAGAAUAAGCACCGGCUAACUUCGUGCCAGCAGCCGCGGUAAUACGAAGGGUGCAAGCGUUACUCGGAAUUACUGGGCGUAAAGCGUGCGUAGGUGGUUGUUUAAGUCUGUUGUGAAAGCCCUGGGCUCAACCUGGGAAUUGCAGUGGAUACUGGGCAACUAGAGUGUGGUAGAGGGUAGUGGAAUUCCCGGUGUAGCAGUGAAAUGCGUAGAGAUCGGGAGGAACAUCCAUGGCGAAGGCAGCUACCUGGACCAACACUGACACUGAGGCACGAAAGCGUGGGGAGCAAACAGGAUUAGAUACCCUGGUAGUCCACGCCCUAAACGAUGCGAACUGGAUGUUGGGUGCAAUUUGGCACGCAGUAUCGAAGCUAA
rnacentral:rRNA from 1 species